UCACUAGCUGAAGGUUUGACGAGCCCAAAUAAAAGCAGGGAGAUAACAGAGCAAGUUUUGUUGUGAUCACUCAAGAGACAUGGCGCUUCUAAUAUAUAGGGAGAUAAGCCUUGUUAAAGGCGGUUAUUAUUAUUAUUGUGUUCUAGAAAGGUGGGAGCAAUUGGAAUUGGAAGAGACCGAGGGGUCGAAGAUGACCAUUGGAAGCAGCCUGUUGUUACUUCUUUUUUUCUUUUCU
rnacentral:lncRNA from 1 species